rnacentral:siRNA from 1 species
UGUCAUCUUAGAGAAUGCCA